rnacentral:rRNA from 1 species
UACGUAGGGUGCAAGCGUUAAUCGGAAUUACUGGGCGUAAAGCGUGCGCAGGCGGCUUUGCAAGACAGAUGUGAAAUCCCCGGGCUCAACCUGGGAACUGCAUUUGUGACUGCAUGGCUAGAGUACGGUAGAGGGGGAUGGAAUUCCGCGUGUAGCAGUGAAAUGCGUAGAUAUGCGGAGGAACACCGAUGGCGAAGGCGGCAUCCUGGACCAAUUCUGACGCUGAGGAGCGAAAGCCAGGGGAGCAAACGGG